AUUGAACGCUGGCGGAAUGCUUUACACAUGCAAGUCGAACGGCAGCACGGGUGCUUGCACCUGGUGGCGAGUGGCGAACGGGUGAGUAAUACAUCGGAACGUACCCAGUUAUGGGGGAUAACUAACCGAAAGGUUAGCUAAUACCGCAUACGCCCUGAGGGGGCAAGCGGGGGACCGUAAGGCCUCGAGUAAUUGGAGCGGCCGAUGUCUGAUUAGCUAGUUGGUGAGGUAAAGGCUCACCAAGGCGACGAUCAGUAGCAGGUCUGAGAGGAUGAUCUGCCACACUGGAACUGAGACACGGUCCAGACUCCUACGGGAGGCAGCAGUGGGGAAUUUUGGACAAUGGGCGAAAGCCUGAUCCAGCCAUUCCGCGUGAGUGAAGAAGGCCUUCGGGUUGUAAAGCUCUUUCGGCAGGGAAGAAACGCUCUGGGAUAAUACUCCGGGGUAAUGACGGUACCUGAAGAAGAAGCACCGGCUAACUACGUGCCAGCAGCCGCCGUAA
rnacentral:rRNA from 1 species